rnacentral:rRNA from 1 species
GAAGAAGGCCUUCGGGUUGUAAAGCACUUUCAGUCGUGAGGAAGGCGGUGUAGUUAAUAGCUGCAUCGUUUGACGUUAGCGACAGAAGAAGCACCGGCUAACUCCGUGCCAGCAGCCGCGGUAAUACGGAGGGUGCGAGCGUUAAUCGGAAUUACUGGGCGUAAAGCGCAUGCAGGUGGUUUGUUAAGUCAGAUGUGAAAGCCCGGGGCUCAACCUCGGAAUUGCAUUUGAAACUGGCAGACUAGAGUACUGUAGAGGGGGGUAGAAUUUCAGGUGUAGCGGUGAAAUGCGUAGAGAUCUGAAGGAAUACCGG